UAAGUGAUUGAUUUAAGUGGAAAUUGAAUCGGUCUCGAAAACCGGAGUAGGGGCAACUCUACCGGGGGUUCAAAUCCCCCUCUCUCCGCCA
rnacentral:tRNA from 1 species